CACUGAGGCGUGACGACGAGGCACUACGGUGCUGAAGCAACAAAUGCCCUGCUUCCAGGAAAAGCCUCUAAGCAUCAGGUAACAUCAAAUCGUACCCCAAACCGACACAGGUGGUCAGGUAGAGAAUACCAAGGCGCUUGAGAGAACUCGGGUGAAGGAACUAGGCAAAAUGGUGCCGUAACUUCGGGAGAAGGCACGCUGACACGUAGGUGAAGUGAUUUACUCAUGGAGCUGAAGUCAGUCGAAGAUACCAGCUGGCUGCAACUGUUUAUUAAAAACACAGCACUGUGCAAACACGAAAGUGGACGUAUACGGUGUGACGCCUGCCCGGUGCCGGAAGGUUAAUUGAUGGGGUCAGCGCAAGCGAAGCUCCUGAUCGAAGCCCCGGUAAACGGCGGCCGUAACUAUAACGGUCCUAAGGUAGCGAAAUUCCUUGUCGGGUAAGUUCCGACCUGCACGAAUGGCGUAAUGAUGGCCAGGCUGUCUCCACCCGAGACUCAGUGAAAUUGAACUCGCUGUGAAGAUGCAGUGUACCCGCGGCAAGACGGAAAGACCCCGUGAACCUUUACUAUAGCUUGACACUGAACAUUGAGCCUUGAUGUGUAGGAUAGGUGGGAGGCUUUGAAGUGUGGACGCCAGUCUGCAUGGAGCCGACCUUGAAAUACCACCCUUUAAUGUUUGAUGUUCUAACGUGGACCCGUUACCCGGGUUGCGGACAGUGUCUGGUGGGUAGUUUGACUGGGGCGGUCUCCUCCUAAAGAGUAACGGAGGAGCACGAAGGUUGGCUAAUCCUGGUCGGACAUCAGGAGGUUAGUGCAAUGGCAUAAGCCAGCUUGACUGCGAGCGUGACGGCGCGAGCAGGUGCGAAAGCAGGUCAUAGUGAUCCGGUGGUUCUGAAUGGAAGGGCCAUCGCUCAACGGAUAAAAGGUACUCCGGGGAUAACAGGCUGAUACCGCCCAAGAGUUCAUAUCGACGGCGGUGUUUGGCACCUCGAUGUCGGCUCAUCACAUCCUGGGGCUGAAGUAGGUCCCAAGGGUAUGGCUGUUCGCCAUUUAAAGUGGUACGCGAGCUGGGUUUAGAACGUCGUGAGACAGUUCGGUCCCUAUCUGCCGUGGGCGCUGGAGAACUGAGGGGGGCUGCUCCUAGUACGAGAGGACCGGAGUGGACGCAUCACUGGUGUUCGGGUUGUCAUGCCAAUGGCACUGCCCGGUAGCUAAAUGCGGAAGAGAUAAGUGCUGAAAGCAUCUAAGCACGAAACUUGCCCCGAGAUGAGUUCUCCCUGAGACUUAAAGUCUCCUGAAGGAACGUUGAAGACGACGACGUUGAU
rnacentral:rRNA from 1 species